rnacentral:rRNA from 1 species
CUGCCCUUUGUACACACCGCCCGUCGCUACUACCGAUUGAAUGGCUUAGUGAGGUCUUCGGAUCGGCUUUGGGGAGCCGGCAACGGCACCUCAUUGCUGAGAAGUUGAUCAAACUUGGUCAUUUAGAGGAAGUAAAAGUCGUAACAAGGUUUCCGUAGGUGAACCUGCGGAGGAUCAUUAACGAAUCAAACAAGUUCAUCUUGUUCUGAUCCUGUGCACCUCAUGUAGUCCCAAAGCCUUCACGGGCGGCGGUUGACUACGUCUACCUCACACCUUAAAGUAUGUUAACGAAUGUAAUCAUGGUCUUGACAGACCCUAAAAAGUUAAUACAACUUUCGACAACGGAUCUCUUGGCUCUCGCAUCGAUGAAGAACGCAGCGAAAUGCGAUAAGUAAUGUGAAUUGCAGAAUUCAGUGAAUCAUCGAAUCUUUGAACGCACCUUGCGCCCUUUGGUAUUCCGAGGGGCAUGCCUGUUUGAGUGUCAUUAAAUACCAUCAACCCUCUUUUGACUUCGGUCUCGAGAGUGGCUUGGAAGUGGAGGUCUGCUGGAGCCUAACGGAGCCAGCUCCUCUUAAAUGUAUUAGCGGAUUUCCCUUGCGGGAUCGCGUCUCCGAUGUGAUAAUUUCUACGUCGUUGACCAUCUCGGGGCUGACCUAGUCAGUUUCAAUAGGAGUCUGCUUCUAACCGUCUCUUGACCGAGACUAGCGACUUGUGCGCUAACUUUUGACUUGACCUCAAAUCAGGUAGGACUACCCGCUGAACUUAAGCAUAUCAAUAAGCGGAGGAAAAGAAACUAACAAGGAUUCCCCUAGUAACUGCGAGUGAAGCGGGAAAAGCUCAAAUUUAAAAUCUGGCGGUCUCCGGCCGUCCGAGUUGUAAUUUAGAGAAGCGUUAUCCGUGCUGGACCGUGUAUAAGUCUCCUGGAAUGGAGCGUCAUAGAGGGUGAGAAUCCCGUCUUUGACACGGACUACCAGUGCAUUGUGAUGCGCUCUCGACGAGUCGAGUUGUUUGGGGAA